rfam:Kluyvera intermedia strain CAV1151, complete genome.
UUUUUGCAUCUGCGCCAGAGAGGAUGAGAACCUCCGGGGGCAGGGAGGUUCGACCCGAGCGAAGCGAGAGAACGUUGCGUUAGCAACGGCCCGCAGGGCGAGCCACGCAGUGGCGAGUUAUCUCUGGCACCGACCA